GGGAUUGCUGUGCUCAGAUUUGUAGGU
rnacentral:piRNA from 1 species